CGUGCGCCAGCGCCGAAUCCCGAAAGGGAACCGGGGAACCACCACCCUGGGGUGAAUCGGACAUCCGGGUCUCGUGAGAGACGCGGUGUCCGUAGGAGACCUUCCUGCUCCGAACCCGUCAGCUAACCCGGUAGGCGAGAAGGAAGGAAAGG
rnacentral:sRNA from 2 species